rnacentral:rRNA from 1 species
GUGUCAGCAGCCGCGGUAAUACGGGGGGGGCUAGCGUUGUUCGGAAUUACUGGGCGUAAAGGGCUCGUAGGCGGCCUUGUUAGUCGGACGUGAAAUCCCUCGGCUCAACCGGGGAACUGCGUCCGAUACUGCGAGGCUCGAAUCCGGGAGAGGGAUGCGGAAUUCCAGGUGUAGCGGUGAAAUGCGUAGAUAUCUGGAGGAACACCGGUGGCGAAGGCGGCAUCCUGGACCGGUAUUGACGCUGAGGAGCGAAAGCCAGGGGAGCAAACGGGAUUAGAUACCCUAGUAGUCC